UGGGGAAUAUUGGACAAUGGGCGCAAGCCUGAUCCAGCCAUGCCGCGUGUGUGAAGAAGGCCUUCGGGUUGUAAAGCACUUUCAGCGAGGAGGAAGGGAGUAGUGUUAAUAGUACUACUUUUUGACGUUACUCGCAGAAGAAGCACCGGCUAACUCCGUGCCAGCAGCCGCGGUAAUACGGAGGGUGCAAGCGUUAAUCGGAAUUACUGGGCGUAAAGCGCACGUAGGCGGUGUGUUAAGUUGGAUGUGAAAGCCCCGGGCUCAACCUGGGAAUUGCAUUCAAAACUGGCACGCUAGAGUAUGUGAGAGGGGGGUUGAGAAUUCCAAGUGUAGCGGUGAAAUGCGUAGAGAUUUGGAGGAAUACCAGUGGCGAAGGCGGCCCCCAUGGCACAAUACUGACGCUCAGGUGCGAAAGCGUGGGGAGCAAAGCAGGAUUAGAUACCC
rnacentral:rRNA from 1 species